rnacentral:sRNA from 1 species
AUAAAUGAGCGGGCGAAGCCAAAAUUCGCCCCCUUACGCGGUCAAAGUCUUGGGAGGAUGCGAUCUGGGCGCGAGGAAACUCGCUGCCGCCGGUAACGGAACACGGAUCGGACGCGUUCAACUGCAAGGCUUCGGCCUUGCAUUUUUUU